UAUUUUACAGCGAUUCAGAGGGCAUUUCUGGGGAGGACAAGUCUCUGCAGAGGUCCUGAGGCUGGGGUAAGGGGACUCCCCUUUCCAGACCUGCCCUCUCCUCCUGGAUGGAGGGCACUGGCAUCAACAAUAGUGUGGAAACCACACCCUCCUACUUCUCCAGGUCACAGCCCAGUGGCGUUUACCAGCUCCUGGGAGUGUAUCAGCACAGACCCACCCUCCGAUGUCCCGCACGAACUCUUAUUUUUCAGAAACAUCAGCGCUUGCCUGGUCAGUGGACUUUGCGGUCUCAUUCCCUGCAUCAGCCAGGCCGUAUCACAAAAUACCUGCUAGACUGCCGUGUAAAGAGACAAGGCUGAUUUUCCUCAUCCUUCCAGAGGUCCAGCCCAAGGUCGGGUGGCCCUGUUUGUUGUUCUGAGCCUCGGAUGAAGGUACUCAGCCAUCAUGGAAAGGGCAGGGCACCCAGGAAGCAUGGAGAGGUGGGAGAAGGGGAGCACAGUUCCCCCAAAAGCACCGCCCCCAAUCACUAAGAGCCUCCCCCUAGCCCGUCUCUUAAAAGCUCCGCACCGCCCACAGAGCUGCCCUGGGAACCAAACCACACAAAGGCAUUCAGCACCCCCACUGUAGUGACCCCAGGGCAGUCCUGUUACACCUGCCUGUGCAUAUUUUUCUGUUUACAUCUAACAUUUUCAAGAAUACAAUUGCAAUAAUUUCAAAAACUGUAACUUUCAGCAUAUGUUGACAUUAUAAAACUUGCAGUUUUAAAUGCACCCAAAUGAAUCCAAAUAGUCUAAAAAAUUGAUGCUCACCAUCUUCCACAUUUACAAACGUGUAACUAAGCUCUUUCUUAGCUCAUUUUUAUAUUAUUUUUCUCAUUCAACUCAUACUUUAUUCCUUACUCGUGGAAUUUUAUUAUGCUAAGUUUCAUGUUUAAAACUCUUGCCAGAUAUGGUAGCUCCACGCCUGUAAUCCCAGCACUCAGGAGGCUGAGGCAGGAGAAUCUCUGCCAAAUCAGUACCAACCUGGGUUACAUAGUGAGUUCAGGGCCAGCCUUACCUACAUAGUGAGACCCUGUCACAAAAAAAUCAAAACCAUAAAAUAAAAUACAGGCCGAAGUCUUUUGUGGAUCACAUAACUAGAUUUUUCUGCAACAAAAAAUAAGUCUAGCAAAUUAAAUUUUUAAUUUUCUUAAAUGUGUCUCUAAAUGACAAAUGAUAUCUUCUCAAUUAUUAAUAACACUCAAUUUAUUAGAACAAAGUGACCCCAGUAUGGCUUUUUAUUAGUAAUUAUUAAAUGUACAUCCUUUAGAACACCUAUUAUGAGAUGGAUGGUGUUAAACGGUUUUCAGAUUGGUUCAUACACCAGGGAUGACUGAUACCUAUCAGUAGUGUAAGACAGGGCCCGGUGUUGAUUACACCUCUAUCCUUGCAGGGCUUAAAGGUGAGAGAGCUCCAGUUGCUCACGUAUUUGGAAGGGGGCUGGGGGGCCGUAGCUGACGUACUGUUGGAGAUGGGGUCUGGUCCCAAGCCUGUGUCACUGCAGCGUGGCCUGGCUCUUCCGAGCUCCUCCCUUUAGCCUCCCUGGCCCUUGUUCACCACGAAUUGAGCAGCUGUCCUCCCCUCUGUCCCUUCUGCCUGCCUUCUGGCCUGGAGUCAGCCAGUUAUGGACCAAAAGCAUAAGCCAAGAUAACUCUCUCCUUUAAGAGUCGAGUACAGAGCCUCAGCAGCAACCAGGUGCCUAAGAGCCUAAGUGAGGAAAAAACCAAUGUAAAUAAAUGCAAGUACACAGGAGGUCUGGCGCAUGAAGCUUCUGCUUCUGCCUGGCGACGUUACAGAGAAAUAUUUUGUUGCCGCACAGUCUUUUCCAUCUCAGAUCUGUGGCCCUGGCUGCCCUUCAGACUUCCCUGGCCACGUCUCCUCCACUGGCACCGGCCUGGCCGCCUGCCUGGAGGACAGGGAAGGUGCUGGCCGUGGCUCGAGGUGUCUGAGUCUCGUGGCAUUGAGCAGCUUGGUGUGGCUCCCCAAACGCCUGGGUAGCCCCACUGAGGGCGAAGGCUGCCAGGCUGCAUGUGAGCGCCCUUCCCACGGCUGAGGUGCGUGCCAGCCCUUUGUGCCCACCACCCCAUGCCAACUUCCAGAGGUGAGCAGCGAGUGAUGGGGGGAAUUUGUGUCUACACGAAAACCUGCGCAAAGAUGUCAACAUCGACUUCAUUCAUAAUCACCUGGACCUGCAUUGGUGCAGAAACAAACUGUGUGCACUUGAGAACAGAACAGUACUCACCUCGGAGAGGGGGAGGCUGCCCCUAGAGGGACUUACCCACCUGCAGGACACUCUGCAGAGGCAGGAGCGUGGGGACAACGACCAGACUGGUGGCUUCUGGGUUGCUGGGGUUGGCAGAGAGGGAAGUGAGAUGAGUGGGGUGCAGGAGAGCUCUGCAUGGGGCUCUGAUGGUGCAAGGCAGAGCCCAAGCCCUGACCGGAAGUGGAUUCUGAUGCCCACACUGUCUGGAAAGGCACCCUCUGGUCAGAGACGGGGACAACCGGGGUGGGAGCUGUGCACGCUGCAAGGGGAGAGGGUAAUGGGAACUUGGUACCUCCCUCAAAAUUUUGCUGUAAACAGAAAACCAUCUCCCCCAAAAUAAAGCUAUUGUAAAAUACA